rnacentral:rRNA from 1 species
GACGAACCGUGCAAACGUUGUUCGGAAUCACUGGGCUUAAAGGGCGCGUAGGCGGCAGACCAAGUCCGGGGUGAAAUCUUUCGGCUUAACCGGAAAAGGGCCUUGGAUACUGGUUUGCUAGAGGGAGGUAGGGGUCUGUGGAACUUCUGGUGGAGCGGUGAAAUGCGUUGAUAUCAGAAGGAACGCCGGUGGCGAAAGCGACGGACUGGAUCUCUUCUGACGCUGAUGCGCGAAAGCCAGGGGAGCAAACGGG